CGCACAUUGCGCCCUCUGGUAUUCCGGGGGGCAUGCCUGUCCGAGCGUCAUUGCAACCUUCAAGCGUAGCUUGGUCUUGGGUCUUCGCCCCUCGCGGGGCGUGCCUGGAAAGCAGUGGGUGCCCGGUGUGACUUUGGGCGUAGUAAUACUUCCCGCCUUGAAAGCCUCGCGCCGCGGUGCUCAGCAAACCUCACUCUCUGAGAAUUGACCUCGGAUCAGGUAGGGAUACCCGCUGAACUUAA
rnacentral:misc_RNA from 1 species